GGAUCUUGAGGCCCAGACAUGUCAGAUAACUUGCCUAAGGUCACACAGCUAGGAGGUGGUGGAUCUGCUAAAACUGCAUUGACGGCGUGUGAAAGACAGUAAGACUUUAUUUAGGGGAAGGAUUAAAAGGUCAAAAUGUUGAAAAGCUCUGCAGUGUGGGAGGUGGUGAAGGAAAGGCAUUGGAGGUCUUGGCUCUUCUGAUUCAGAAGAUUUUGGCAAGCAAGGCCCAUCAGACCAAAGAGAUGUGAUUUUUGGACCAUACCUGAGAUUUGCCCGGAGAAGUGCCUCCCUGACUUUGCACGUCCUGUCUGCUGGGAGACACAGGGCACGGUACGUUCCCCACCAUGUGGCCACCUGUCUCUGUGACCGUUCCACUGUCACUAGAACGAGAGGACCUGUGCCUGCCAAGCUCCAAAGGCGGCUCAUCGUGAGCGGCAAGGUAAUUUCACAGAAGCGAUGUGCACGGUGAGUGAACUGCUGCGUCUUCUACACGCCUUCACACUACUCCCGCACUCAUGCACGCACACACCUGCUGCAGGGGAACCCCACCGCUGAAGUCCAUCCUCCACCCCCCAAGGGAGCCCAAGUUUGUUCAAAAAACAAACUGCACGUCAAAAAGAA